rnacentral:lncRNA from 15 species
AGCGCUGCCAGAGGCUGCGUUGCAUUUCCACAGUUUAUUGAGAUAAGUCGGACUCAGCGUGCAAGCUUAGCAGAUUGAGCUCUGCUGGACGGAGACCAGGAGGAGACGUCUCCCACUGCAGGACGAGAGCUCCAACACGGCGCUGCGAAGAGACGGCACUGAGGAAAAGAGGAAAUGCUGACUCAGCUGGUUUUAGGAUGGACUGCCUUGCUCAGCGGCCUCCAGCCGGCUGCUCCCACUGUCACAACCAGAUUUCCGUCUAGCAGAAACAGCAGGUGGUCAACUCCGAAAUGUGAAGUUUUCAUCCCUCCUCCUCUUCCACCUCCUUUGUUUCCUCCAGUCAAACGGAAAGCAGAGCUGAUGGUCGAUAUAACGGAACACAUCACAGGAAAGAAAGGGGAGAAGGGCUGCAGAGGACCCAGAGGACCCGAGGGCCAACCGGGUGUGACGGGUCCAGAGGGAGAACCUGGAACACAAGGAACCAUGGGAAAGCCGGGUCAAAAGGGGGAGAAGGGGGACAGAGGCUGGAGGGGCCUGUAUGGAGACAUAGGAACUCCUGGGAUGAUAAAGGUACAGUGUAGCUUGGAUUUAUGUUACAAUAUGAGCUGGUUCAUAUCGAGCAGA